rnacentral:lncRNA from 1 species
UACGGGGAUCGAAAAACAGGCCGCAUAGCCAGCCUGGCCCCUACUCCGAAGGUAUUCCGAAUGACUUCCUCAAUCUGAUUAUAUAGCUCAUUGUUAUUCCCUUGUAUGGGAAGCAGAGCUUGUGCUUGAGCCGGAUUCGGCCCUUGAGGAACUCCAUAAUUCUGUAUUGCAGGGUUCGCUCCUUGCAUAGCAUUAGAGGCCUGCCCCCCAGCUCUAAUCCCUGCAUUUUGAGGCUGAUAAGUUGGUAAAGGAGGUAAACCGGAUGCAAUCUCCGAC